AUUGCAUGGUAUUUUAUCAGGGGAGAAAAAAUAAAACUGAGAUCCAAUUUCAUGAAAAUGCUGUUUUCAUAAUGCUCAGGAGGACAGGGGGAAGAGAGACUGUCCAGUCUUCCCAAGGUCUACCUCACGUGCAGAUGUACACCGCCUUUUCCCAGUUUAGAAAGAAUGUGCCUGGAAGAAGCACCUGAGGCCAGCCUUGACCUUCUACCACUCAUAUGGUGGGAAGACAGAAGCAAACUGCUGUUAAGAAAAGCUGGAGCCAGACAUGAUGGUGCACACCUUUAAUCCCAGCACUCGGGAGGCAGAGGGUAAUUUUUCUUAGACACAGGCUAGAAACUGGACUCCUUGGUCAUACUCCCAACAACUUGGUAUGGCUUCAUGCUUCUGUCACCAACCAGGAACGGCUGUCACAAAAGCAGAAGCAGCCCUCUUCCCCAGGGUCUACCUUGUUCUGCCUUGCUCAGCCACCUUGUCCCAGUCGUCAGAGUCCAGGGCAGAGGUAGUGCUCAUCUAUUGCCAAAUCACUGGGACGAAGGAAUUGCCAAGUAUGUUUCCUCCUCACAGGACAUGCACACAGCUUCAGCUUGCAUCUCAGUGGCUCAAACAUCAUGGUUUGUCUAAACCUAGAUGCAAGAGAAAUUGGGACAUAAAAGUCUUCAUUCUAGUUGACCAGCUAAAAAUUGGAGAUA